GUGGACAACCUACCCUAUGGUGGGGGAUAACCCCGGGAAACUGGGGAUAAUACCCCAUAGACUAUGGAUGCUGGAAUGCUCUGUAGCCGAAAGGUCAGCCGCCAUAGGAUGGGUCUGCGGCCGAUUAGGUUGUUGUUGGGGUAACGGCCCAACAAGCCUGUAAUCGGUACGGGUUGUGGGAGCAAGAGCCCGGAGAUGGAUUCUGAGACACGAAUCCAGGCCCUACGGGGCGCAGCAGGCGCGAAAACUUUACAAUGCGGGAAACCGUGAUAAGGGAACUCCGAGUGCCCGUUAAAUCGGGCUGUCCAUCAGUUUAAAAAACUGGUGAAGAAAGGGCCGGGCAAGACCGGUGCCAGCCGCCGCGGUAAUACCGGCGGCUCGAGUGGUGGCCACUAUUACUGGGCUUAAAGCGUUCGUAGCUGGUUUGUUAAGUCUCUGGGGAAAUCUUCCGGCUUAACCGGAAGGCAUCUCAGGGAUACUGGCAGACUAGGGACCGGAAGAGGUGAGGGGUACUCCAGGGGUAGGAGUGAAAUCCUGUAAUCCUUGGGGGACCACCUGUGACGAAGG
rnacentral:rRNA from 1 species